GAUGAACGCUGGCGGCGUGCCUAAUACAUGCAAGUCGAGCGAACAGACGAGGAGCUUGCUCCUCUGACGUUAGCGGCGGACGGGUGAGUAACACGUGGAUAACCUACCUAUAAUACUGGGAUAACUUCGGGAAACCGGAGCUAAUACCGGAUAAUAUAUUGAACCGCAUGGUUCAAUAGUGAAAGACGGUUUUGCUGUCACUUAGAGAUGGAUCCGCGCCGCAUUAGCUAGUUGGUAAGGUAACGGCUUACCAAGGCAACGAUGCGUAGCCGACCUGAGAGGGUGAUCAGCCACACUGGAACUGAGACACGGUCCAGACUCCUACGGGAGGCAGCAGUAGGGAAUCUUCCGCAAUGGGCGAAAGCCUGACGGAGCAACGCCGCGUGAGUGAUGAAGGUCUUCGGAUCGUAAAACUCUGUUAUUAGGGAAGAACAAAUGUGUAAGUAACUAUGCACGUCUUGACGGUACCUAAUCAGAAAGCCCCGGCUAACUACGUG
rnacentral:rRNA from 1 species